rnacentral:rRNA from 1 species
UACGUAGGGAGCAAGCGUUGUCCGGAAUCAUUGGGCGUAAAGCGCGCGUAGGCGGCCUCAUAAGUCCGUUGUGAAAGUCAAAGGCUCAACCUUUGAAAGCCGAUGGAUACUGUGAGGCUAGAGUCCGGAAGAGGCGAGUGGAAUUCCUGGUGUAGCGGUGGAAUGCGCAGAUAUCGGGAGGAACACCUGUGGCGAAAGCGGCUCACUGGACCACAACUGACGCUGAGGCGCGAAAGCUAGGGGAGCAAACAGG